rnacentral:rRNA from 1 species
UACAGAGGGUGCGAGCGUUGUCCGGAAUCACUGGGCGUAAAGGGCGCGUAGGUGGCGGCCCAAGUCCAUGGUGAAAGCUCGAUGCUCAACAUCGAGUCGGCCACGGAUACUGGGGUUGCUCGAGCACUGUAGGGGCAGAUGGAAUUCCGGGUGUAGCGGUGGAAUGCGUAGAGAUCCGGAAAGAACACCGGUGGCGAAGG